GCCGCCGUAGUAUAGCCCGGAAUAGUAUGCGGGCCUGUCGAGCCCGUGACCCGGGUUCAAAUCCCGGCGGCGGCG
rnacentral:tRNA from 1 species